ACAGAUGUUUAAUUGAAUAGUCGCCUUUUAAUUUGGGCUGAAAUUAGUUGUUUUAAGUGUUCUUUGGAGAAUAAAAUGAUUAUAGAACAUACAGCUUGAAUGGCUUCGGAAACAACACCUGUGAAGAUGUAAAAUUGUAAAUACAAGUGUGCAUAUAUAAUAAUUCUGAUUGGAUACUGGGCCAGCUUAUUAAAUAAAUUUUAAUAGGUUUACCCAAACUAUCAGCUUCAAUGAAAGGAAAUUGGUUAGGCUGGUCAAGAAUCACCCAGAAAGCUCAGAGAGAUGCUGGGACACCAUUGUCAAACAAACAAUGGUCGCUCCACUGUCACGACCUUUAACCUCGACGGAAAUGUGAACACAAGGAGAGAAGAGUCAAAGAUUUAACUGUGGAGGGGGAGCAUGUUUAGAGGAGACACGGUGAGGCUUAAAAACCCAAGAACACAGAACAAACUGUCGAGCACGGUGGUGGCAGCAUUAUGCUGAUGUCUGUUUCAUUGCCGUUUAUGCUGGUGCUGCAUAAAAUGGGUACAAAAAAGAAGACGGCUGACUAGCUACAAAUUCUUCAGCUUCGUCUCAGAUCAACAGUAGGUUCAAACUUGGACACAACUGAGUGUUUUUAAACAGGACAGCGAUUCAAAACGCAGAUAAAAAAACUGGUUCUGGAGCUGAUAAAGCGGGCUGACAUCAAGCUUCUGGAAUCUGAAGCUUGAUUCAGAUUCCAGAUCUGAACCCUACUGAAGAUGUGAAAACUCUGCUCAAAGAAUCUGAGCCGUCCCGAAACAAAUUUGAGAAGACUGGCAAAAACGUCCAGGCAGAAUUAUUGUCUUUAUGGCUUCAAAACUUGUAGUUUCUCUGCAUCACCCAAAGAGAAACGUAUGCAAAUAUUACUGUGUGUUUAUAUUUGAGGGUUUACAUGUAAUUUUUGACGCUGUGUGGACUACAAAAAAAAAUAAAGCCGCAAUCAAUUCACAUUGGUGCUCCCAAUUCUUGCUUCUAAAACUCAUUGCAACUGUAUGGUAUAUAAUCACUGCAGAAAAAAAAGACAG